UUUAGUAUCUUGAAACAUGCCACCAUUAGGAAAGAAGACUGUGCCAAAACAAUCUGUCUUUUUUGGUAAGCAGUGAGUAACUUUUGAAGGUGUUUAACGGGAAGUCUGACCAUUGAAUGCUUCAACAGGCAGGCCAUCAUGGAAACCUGAGUGCUUUCUCUUCCCUCUCACUGAAUGGAUCUCAACACUCCUUGAUUCAAAUGAGAAUCCAGAAUGAACAGGCACCCGGAGGCAACCACACAACAUUGUGAAAUCCUUGGAACAUAACCAGUUUAAACCGGUGGUGUUUCAGGCGGAGAGAGUGAGCUCCUCCGCGCAGAAGUUUUGAGACUGCCUAACACCUCUGUCAUAAUCAAGCAGAAGCAAAAUCAAAAUGUAUUUCUACCAAGUGCAAUUUAUAGAAGAGAUUGCGUAUAGAAAGGAUCAUGUAAAAACUAUAUGUGUUUAUAUCUCUACUUGCCACAGCUUAUAAAAAAAUUCCUCUGUAGAAUUCCA